AACUAAAUUUUCAACAUUUGACCUUGCUGCGAAUGAUGAUGAUGGACUUGAGGCUCAAAGUGCUUUUCUGAGAACACUGGAAAAUGCACAUGGACAGCCAAAUUGAAGGGGAAAAUAGCUCUGAAGUCAAUCUGUCUGUAGUACUACCAAAGCUGCUGGGAAUCAGCUGUGUAGGCACAAGAGUUUUCCAUAUUCAUAGAACCAUGGAAUGGCUUGGGUUAGAAGGAACCUUAGGGAUCAUUCUGUUCCAACCCAUGGACAGGGACACCUUCCACUAUCCCAGGGUGCUCCAAGCCCCAUCCAACCUGAUCUUGGGCACUUCCAGGGAUGCAGGGGCAGACACAGCUUUGUAAAUAAUCAAGUCUCCCUAAAAACCUGCUGAGGUGAGAAGUACAAUUCAUAGCAAAAGAGUAUUGGAGGAAUGAUUUGUAAUUAAAAAGCCUUUUCAUCGGUGCUGGUUUAUUUCCUGGGGUCAGGAAGGCUCAUCUGUGCAGGUGUGAGAGGUCCUGUUGUGUCUUUGGGUGAUGUUGAUACACACAUGGGUUUUGGCAGAGCUCCUCACUCACCCUCAGUCCAGCAGGUUCCCAAAGCUUGGGUGAAACUGCAUUUUCAGGCCACUAUAGCCAGUGUCUGUGGGGCUGUUUGAAUAGAAAUGAGCAUCAGGCCCUUACUGAGGGUGAAGCAAUCAAUCAGGGAAAGGUUCAAAAAGAGAAACAGACAUGCAGAACUCUGAAAUGAUAUAAAAGUUGGGUUUUUUUCAAGCAAUUUUAAGAAGUAUUCUUCUUUCUGUUAGAUAGUAACAAGAACUUGCUCUUGUUUUGAUCUGAGAUAUCUCAACUUUAAAAGAAAGGUCUAACAAUUUUCUUCCCCUUUCUCUUACCUAUUCCACAACUCAUGUUGUAUAGGCUUUUCAAGGUCAAGUGUGCUUUCAUGCCUUCAGCAUGUUUCUGUUAGAGUGCUGUGAUGUAGAAUUGUGUUUAGCUGAUACUCUUGGACAACUCAAUUUGUUGUUUGGUAUUUUACAGAGAUAUAAAAUGGGACAAUGACAUGGCAGAUACAUGGCAGUGAAAAUGAGCAAAUUAAAGACCGUAACUGGGAUGUUUACAGCAGCAACAUGGUGAACAAACAGAUAAGGAUGCUGUGGAAAGCAAAAGGUCACUGGACUUGAAGGACAAACUCAUGGAAUAUGAAUCCACUGAGUCUGCUGAAACUGUGCCUGGCCCUGGAUGUCUGUGAACUGCCAAGGACUGGAGGAGCAGGGAGCACACAGGACGGGAUGUGCUGUUUGUCAGGAGCUUCCAGGGACCUGCACAAACACAGAGAAGGAGAAGCUGUGGCAGAGAGGGAGUGGAAUGGGAAAUGACAGCGGGAAGGACAAGGAUAGUGGUAAGAAAAUACAAGGAUUAGAAAUACCAGAAAGUGAAAUGACAGCGUGCUGUUGUCACUGCUGUUGUCCCUUCUGUCUCUGGGUGCCAUGGCUUGGUGCUGUUGAAUAUUGCUUUGGUUAGCUGCUGUGGCACAGACCCAUCACAGCACACUGGCAACCAACACCUUCUCUCUGAGUGGAUAUUUGUUUCUGUUAUGGGGAGUUUUCCUUAAGCAGCUCUGCUAUUUGUUUCAAUCACAGCAAAACCCAUUGUCUCACCUUAAUUUACAGAGCCAUAACUAGUAGUAUUUCUUUUCAGCAUAAAGAGUGCAUUGGAACAAAUACUGCUGUUUAUCAACUGUAAUGCAGUUCUUUAUAAAGGUCUUAUGUGAGCAAAGAAUAAAAAUGCAAUGAUAGUCUCACAAUAAAUACCCUAAAUCCUUUAUUGCCUAUUUAUGGUGUAAUCUCUCUACAGUUGUACAAUAUAUGACUGUUUAGAAAAAGAUCUAGAAUACAGUUAUAUGGUUUAUUUACCAGGAGAUGGCAAUGGUGAUCUACUGCAGUAUUAACUUGUACACAAGGCCCACAUAAGUCUUCCACAACAUCACAAACUUCAGUAUGAAUGAAGCCAAAGUAUUCCAAUACUGCUUUUGCCUUCCUUAUUUCUAACUUAUUUCAGUUGCUGUUAUUCAUUGUAUUUUUUUCCUCUCAUUUUUUGAUUGAAAUUGCUGUCACUACAUUUUUUAUAGAUGUCUAAAUACAAUCCUCCUGGUAUUCUAGAAAACAGAAUAUUAUUUAAAAACAGAGCAGCCAAUACCAUUGAAUAAGAAAUGCCACGUGUCAGAAAAAAAAAUCAAAUGAUUGAUGAAAGUAAAAGCUUAAAAAAAUGAAUUUAGCUUUACAGUAUCAAAAUUGAACUUGAGCAGUUAAUGAAAAAUAAAUUAUAGGUUAUGCUACUAAAAAGCAGGCUAUAAUUUUCUAUUAAGCUGCUUGAAGUAUGGUUUUAAAGUAUGCAGAUGGCAACAUUUUUAUAUAAUUUGAAAUUAACUGAGGUCUGCAAUGUUGUCUGAGCUGUCACAUUACUUAACCUGUAGUAAGGCACUCAUCAUGCUUGUGGACUAGUGCAGCACUGAUCUUCACGUGAAGAUCACUGCCAUAAACUCUGAAAGUAAAAGUUUGGGAUUGCUUUAUGUUUGUUUAUAUCCUUCUCCACAUGAUUUCUGCUCUUCUUCCCAGAGCUUGCACAAGCUGAACAUCAGGUUUUUUGCAUGUUCAAUAGGAAUUUGGCAGAUUUCAAACCAAAAUGAUGGCAGGUGAGUCUCACUGCUCUCCUCAGCUACAUCCCUGUCUGUUUGGAGUGAUCCAGGGAUGCUGCUGGAUAUUUAAGCCUGCUCUGAAGCAGACCUGGACCAAUGACAGCAGUGAUGAUAUUUCACUAGAGAACUACUCCUCUGGCUGGCUUUUCCUCUGGUAUUCUGAAAAAAACAGGCCUUGUCUUAAACAAUCUCUAUGGGGCUCUCAAUUGGGAGGGUUAUCCACCCUCAGGUUAAAUAAAUGCUUUAACUGAAUUUGCUGUUUGCAAAUUAUUUCCUUUCCAUUGCUCCUAUUUUAGUGUUACUAAAAAGCCAGCCAGGACCUUAGAUAUGUGAGGCUGUGAGACGAGCAUGGAGUAGGUAAGGAGUACUUAUCUAUAACAAUAGAUGAUAAGAGGGAAAAAACCCAUUUUUUUAUGCAUAUGAAAGUCUUGAUUUUCUACUGUUUUUACUGUUUCAAUUGCACUUAAUUUUCUAAAGUUCUUCUUCACCACAGUGUCUACCUUUCCACAAUAUCUUUCCUGCUUCUCCAUUAAGUGGUGCUCAAUCAAACCUUAUCUCUAGAAGGGAGAAAAAGCACAUUUAGAGCAUACAGAAGGUAUUUCACUUAAGUCUGCCCUCUCCACACCUUCAUAUCAGGUAACUUUUGUGUUGGGAUCUGUGCUUGCUCAGAGCUCCUGAUAUAGGGAAAGAGCUGGCUCCCCCAGUCAGUCACAGGAGACCCCUAUGUCCACAAAUGCAAUCACACAUUUCACAUCUGCAAUACCUUUCCACUCCACAGACCCCACGGAGUACAGCAGGAAGACAAGAGGUAAGAAAGACCUUUGUCAGUCUUUUUUUCCAAUAAGGAAGCCAAUCCAUGGAGCAAAAUGAGUGGAAGCAGCAGAAGAAACAGGGAGUAGGGUUUAGAGUCUGUUGGCUGCUGGUGCCUUGCUGUAUCAACCAACCAAAUUUUCUGUUUCCCUCUCACAUUUUUGUGCGUCUUUACAUUCCUCUACACACCAGCACAGAGCCAAUCAAUACAUCAGUGCUGGAUUCCUCCCUGUGCACCUGGGCAGCCACAGGAUUCUCCUUGUGGAGAGGUUCUCCAGCAGCUCCGAUCUAACAGGGCUGGGAAUCACCCUGGUGGUGUUCAUGCCUCUUCAAAGGACAAAUUUUGGGAAAGGGCAAAACGAUGUUCAAACUGACAGCUUCUCACACAAAAUCCCUUGUCUCCUGUGCUGGGUGUCUUGCUGUGAAUAUCCACAUUCAUGUCAGCUGUGUGCAGGGAGGAAUUAUGAGUUUCCCUUUUCCUAUCACUUAUUUAUCUCCCUUGUCUUACCAACUUAGAUUGUGCUUAUGUUCUAGUACAGACUAGAGAUACAAAUGUCAGCUUGAAAGGAAUUAGCUCAGCCAUCUCCUAACUUUGCUAAAAUCUGUCCUGUAAACAUGCCAAACUGCAGGCUCUUGAGAGUGGGACUGUUUACAGCCUUGUUUUUACACUGUUUAGUACAACAGGGCCAAAGAAGAGAGGCUUUGGGUGACCCUGGAGCUCCAAUAAUUUUCACAGCGACCCAGAGGGAGAAGAAGGGCCAGACUCUGGGGUGAGUGGUUCAUAAUGGGUCAAGAGAAGUUUAAAUUUCUGAAUUAUAAAGUUGUAAAAAAGAUUCAAAGGGAAGUAAGGGCAUACUCAGCCCACUCUUUGAUAGUACAAUACAUAAAAACCAGAUUUUGUAGGAGUAUAAUAAAAGAUUGUAUAGGAGUAUAAUAAAACCCAGACACAAGUCUGAAAAAUUCAUUAGUUUCUGCCAUGACUAAAAUAAGCACUGUCUAGGAAAACUACUUUGCAAUGGUAAUGAAAAGCAAGUGGAAAAGCAAGUGUUAGCACCAGUGCUGCAAUGUGAAAUAAUUUCUGUAUACUCAGAUCUGUCAUUGUGAACAAUGUUGUUGAUUAUAAACCAUAUCAAAUUCCCAGUCCCCCUAGACAUGUGUUUUAUUUUGCAGUUUUUUUAGUAAUUAUGAAAUCAACAGAAUACUAUCAAGUUUUACCACAAUUAAGCUAAAUAUAUACUUAAAUGAUAUAGCAUAGUUGGUAAUUGCAAUAUCUCUCUGACUUCCUUCCAAGGAACAGUCAGCAUCGUUUCUGGAGCAUUUUCAGGGGUGGUUGCUAAUGAUGACGCUGAGCUCUCUCAUCAUUUUAUACUUUCAGAGGUACUUGAAUCCAAUUUAGAAUGAAGAUUUGACCUGCAGAGCUUCAAUUCUUGUGAGCUGAUAAGACAAGUCUCCCAGACUGAAUGGAUUUUAUGGCCUCCUCAGUGUGUGGGGUGUGAUGGCAGAGGGGUGACACAUAUUUACAGCACCCUGAGCAGUUCACUGAGAGCAGGUCUGGAUCCAGUCCCUUGUGAGAUAGUGCCCACCUGUAAAACCAUCUCCAGGCCAUCGUGCUGAAGACCUUUGGGCUUCAGGAAAUAAAAUGCUUGUCCUAGGUCCUCAGUGAGGGAACAGCUGUGUUCUACAGAACUCUGAGCAAUUGCUGCUUGCCCAGGGUCUGGCCAGGUGUGUUGGUGAUGGGCCUGGGAGGCAGGAGGUUUGUCCUGGUACUUUUCUCAAAGGUUGUCAGAUGCAUUAAUAGCUCAGGAGACUGCUCAGUGUUCUCCACCAAACUGGGACUCGCUACUUUGGCAGUUUUGUCUUCCUGUAGCUGAUCACUUCUGGCCACCAGAACUGAGUGCAUACUCCAAAUUUAUAUUUACAGAUACAGGAAUCCACUUCAUAAGAAAAGACAAGGCAAGUUUUUUUUUGUACUUCUACCAUUGACUUAGCAUUUAUAUAUUUAUUCAGAAAGAUAAGAACUCAAUGAACUUGAUCUUGGGGGUCUUUUCUGACCUUAUUGAUUCUAAAAUGAUUCUUAUUAUCUAGUUUCAAAUAUCCUGUCUCCAUCUAAACUUGCUUACUAUGCAUGAUACCAUUUGUCUGAGAAGUUUUCUGUCUGAAUACUACCUUUAUAAUAAUUUGGUUUAAUAAUUGACAUUUUUUCCAGGUCACUGAAAGGCAAAGGUCAGACAAAGCAAAGACAGAUCACAUCUACUUCAAAUGCUGUUUGCACAACUAUAAGUAGAAAUUGUGAUUGCUAUGGCAUAAAGGAACUAUUAUGACCACAUAUUAAAUGGUGUUUCUUUACUGAAUUAGAUCAGACAAGUAAAUGAGUUUAUAUAAAAGAAUGCAGAGUUCUUAAAGUUUCUUGGUUUACGAGUGUAAUGAGACAGAUUUUAUUUACUGUUAAAUAAUAUGCAAGUUGAUAUAUUUUGGAGCAUGUGAUAACAUGUUCAGAUUCCUUCUAGAAUGUGAAAUUGUCACCAAGAUUUUAAAAGCAGCUCUCAUGGGUCCAAAACCACUGGGAAAAAAAACUUGGUAAAAGCGCACUAAAAGAAAAUGAAGUGCUUCCUCUACAUCUUUUAAACAAUGGGAGAUCUCUGUUCUUAAGGUUGUCUCCAUGAAACUGUCCACUGGAUGACUGUGUUAAAGAAACGAAGAAUGAACAGGGAGAAAAGGACAGGAGUGGGAAUGACAAGCAGGAUGAGCCAGGGUCAAGAGGGUGACUGGAAACAAUUCAAAAUGAGAAAAUCUUGUGAGGGUCAGAGGAACAAGCAUUGAAACAUCUGCUGAGUCACUUCCUCCUGCCGUGUCAGGUGUCCUCAGGAACCCAGAAAGUCUUGUUCCAGAUGAGAAAAGAUCUAAAUAAAUACUACCCAGAGACCUCUUACUUUCUUUGAAGACUGCAGUGAUCUUUUUAACAGUGCUGUAUAAAAAUGACAUAUGAGAAAUACAAUGAAAUUUGUUGAGACUUCCAACACUGAAGAUUAAGUAAAUAUGAUUUUACUCUCUGUACUGAAUCUGCUGAUGAAGAAGCUAAAUUCUGAUCAGCAGCAGUUACAGUAACUAGAGUGCCUGCUUUUCUCAUGCUGGGGGUAGUUGUGCCUUGGAGAUGCCAUUGGUUGAUAUCUUUCUGCCAUGACACAUGUUUAAGCUGAUACUUCCUCAGAUGACAAGACUGAAAAUAGACUUAACAUCAUUUGAUGGAAACCCCCCGGCAUCAAUAGAACCAGCACAGACCUCGAGCCCUUUAUCUUGCCUCUCAGACAGUACUUUGGCAGCCCUAUAUAUGAUAAUGUAAGAAUAAUUGCUUAUUACAUCUCUGCUGUAGCAUACAAGCAUUGUGUAAUUCAGCAUUAAUGUCUGACAACCCAGCUGUCAUCUUUCCAAAAAUACUUGCUCUCUAACUACUGGAGCUGCUGCUGCUUCUACUUCAAACCAAGGGAAGAGAUUUUGCUCUGGGGCAUUUUGACAGGGUGUUAUCUUUUGAAAAGACAGAUGUUUGUGCUGCAACUGUCUGGUGGUUUUAAGGCUCAUGCACAUGUUUCAAUAAAUAAGUGUUAAAUUACUUGCCAGGUUCUGAGUUAAAAUGGACUUCUAGAGAAAUAUGUAGGCGAAACCCAAAAGUAAGAUGAGCGUGCUCACAAAAAAAGAGUUUCAAAUCACCUUUGAAACAACAUGAAAAGCCAAGAAUCUCUGGCUUAAAGGCUUAUGAAUGUGAAAAGACACUUGGAAUUUAUAAACUGGAUGGUGGCGUCAUUUUCUGCCCUUCUCCGUUUCAUUUCCCAAGAGAAAUAUUUCAAAGGGAGGGAAAAUAAUUCCUCCCCUUAUAAGGGAUUUUAUUAUUUCAAGUAGUAUGUAGGUCCUUAUUGACCCAACUUUGAUUUGUAAGCUGAUGAUGAAAUUAAUUUGGCCUUUGGUGUAACCACAAUUAACUUCUCCAGAAGGGAGGUGAUUCCAUGUCUUGCAGUAAAAAAGUCUCUUUGGAAGGAGCAACCUGGAGGCUUUUUGUUGUUUGAGGCUUCAAUAGGCUGAUGCCAGCUGAAGUGGUCUCAGGCUGGUCCUCUGCCCUGGGUGGAAUUUCACCUUGGCAGAUAAAUUAUGGAAGUUCUCUCACAUCAGAAUGACUGAUUAUUAUCUGAUAUGGGAGUUUAAUUCCUCAUUCAGAUUCCUCAUAAUGGACCAAACAAAGACCUGGAGAAUGACACGGAUUGAACAGAAUUUAAUAUUCUUUAGAUAGCCUGGGUAACCUGUCAUGGUAAAUGAAUAUGUGUUGUGUCUCUGUGUACUUUAAACUCUGUCUUGUAUUAAUAAA